rnacentral:rRNA from 1 species
GACGAACGCUGGCGGCGUGCUUAACACAUGCAAGUCGAACGGUAAGGCCCUUCGGGAUACACGAGUGGCGAACGGGUGAGUAACACGUGGGUGAUCUGCCCUGCACUUCGGGAUAAGCCUGGGAAACUGGGUCUAAUACCGGAUAGGACCCUGGGAUGCAUGUCCUGGGGUGGAAAGCUUUUGCGGUGUGGGAUGGGCCCGCGGCCUAUCAGCUUGUUGGUGGGGUGAUGGCCUACCAAGGCGACGACGGGUAGCCGGCCUGAGAGGGUGACCGGCCACACGGGGACUGAGAUACGGCGCAGACUCCUACGGGAGGCAGCAGUGGGGAAUAUUGCACAAUGGGCGCAAGCCUGAUGCAGCGACGCUGCGUGAGGGAUGACGGCCUUCGGGUUGUAAACCUCUUUCAGCACCGACGAAGCGCAAGUGACGGUAGGUGCAGAAGAAGGACCGGCCAACUACGUGCCAGCCGCCGCCGUAA